rnacentral:rRNA from 1 species
GAUGAACGCUGGCGGCGUGCUUAACACAUGCAAGUCGAACGAUGAUGCCCAGCUUGCUGGGUGGAUUAGUGGCGAACGGGUGAGUAACACGUGAGUAACCUGCCCUUGACUCUGGGAUAAGCCUGGGAAACUGGGUCUAAUACCGGAUACGACCAUCUGGCGCAUGUCAUGGUGGUGGGAAGCUUUUGUGGUUUUGGAUGGACUCGCGGCCUAUCAGCUUGUUGGUGGGGUAAUGGCCUACCAAGGCGACGACGGGUAGCCGGCCUGAGAGGGUGACCGGCCACACUGGGACUGAGACACGGCCCAGACUCCUACGGGAGGCAGCAGUGGGGAAGAUUGCACAAUGGGCGCAAGCCUGAUGCAGCGACGCCGCGUGAGGGAUGACGGCCUUCGGGUUGUAAACCUCUUUCAGUAGGGAAGAAGCGAAAGUGACGGUACCUGCAGAAGAAGCGCCGGCUAACUACGUG